rnacentral:rRNA from 1 species
GAUGAACGCUGACAGAAUGCUUAACACAUGCAAGUCGAUGGGGAAGUGGUGCUUGCACCAUGGCAACCAUGGCGGACGGGUGAGUAACUCGUAAGGGACUUACCUGCAGGACUUGGAUAAGAGGGGGAAACUCCUGACAAAACCGGAUAAUGUCAUGGAGCUGCAGGGCUUUAUGGUGAAAGGAGACGCCUGCGGAGAGCCUUGCGUCCUAUUAGCUAUUUGGUAAGGUAAUGGCUCACCAAGCCGAAGAUAGGUAACCGGCCUGAGAGGGUGGACGGCCACGAGGGGACUGAGAGACGGCACUUACUCAUACGGGAGGCAGCAGUGGAGAAUAUUGGACAAUGGGGGCAACCCUGAUCCAGCAAUUCUGUGUGCAAGAAGAAGGUUUUCGGAUUGUAAAGUGCUUUCAGAAGGGAAGAAGUAAGUGACGGUACCUGAAGAAGAAGCGACGGCUAAAUACGUG